rnacentral:rRNA from 1 species
GACGAGCGCUGGCGGCGUGCUUAACACAUGCAAGUCGAACGGAAAGGCCCUGCUUUUGUGGGGUGCUCGAGUGGCGAACGGGUGAGUAACACGUGAGUAACCUGCCCUUGACUUUGGGAUAACUUCAGGAAACUGGGGCUAAUACCGGAUAGGAGCUCCUGCUGCAUGGUGGGGGUUGGAAAGUUUCGGCGGUUGGGGAUGGACUCGCGGCUUAUCAGCUUGUUGGUGGGGUAGUGGCUUACCAAGGCUUUGACGGGUAGCCGGCCUGAGAGGGUGACCGGCCACAUUGGGACUGAGAUACGGCCCAGACUCCUACGGGAGGCAGCAGUGGGGAAUAUUGCACAAUGGGCGGAAGCCUGAUGCAGCAACGCCGCGUGCGGGAUGACGGCCUUCGGGUUGUAAACCGCUUUCGCCUGUGACGAAGCGUGAGUGACGGUAAUGGAUAAAGAAGCACCGGCUAACUACGUG